rnacentral:rRNA from 1 species
GUGCCAGCAGCCGCGGUAAUACCGGUGGCUCGAGUGGUGGCCGCUAUUAUUGGGUCUAAAGGGUCCCGUAGCCCGGCCUGAUAAGUUACCUGGGAAAUCCGGUGGCCUAACCAUCGGCGGCCAGGUAAUACUAUCAGGCUCGGGACUAGGAGAGACCAGAGGUACUCAUGAGGUAGGAGUGAAAUCCUGUAGUCUUAUGAGGACCACCAGUGGUGAAGACGUCUGGUUAGAAUAGGUCCGACGGUGAGGGACGAAGGCUGGGGGCGCAAACCGGAUUAGAUACCCGGGUAGUCCCAGCAGUAAACGAUGCCAGCUAUGUGUUGCUGGAACCAUGGGUUCCAGCAGUGCCGAAGGGAAGCCGUGAAGCUGGCCACCUGGGAAGUACGGUCGCAAGGCUGAAACUUAAAGGAAUUGGCGGGGGAGUACCACAACCGGUGGAGCCUGCGGUUUAAUUGGAUACAACGCCGGGAAUCUUACCGGAGGGGACAGCAGUAUGAAGGCCAGGCUAAAGACCUUGCCAGAUCAGCUGAGAGGAGGUGCAUGGCCGUCGCCAGUUCGUACCGUGAGGCAUCCUGUUUAGUCAGGCAACGAUCGAGACCCGCAGUCUUAUUUGCCAGCAUGCCCUUUGGGGGUGUAUGGGUACAAUAAGACGACCGACAGCGCUAAGCUGGAGGACAGGAGCGGGCUACGGGUAGGUUCACGCAUGCCCCGAAUCCUCCGGG